rnacentral:tRNA from 1 species
AGCCUAAUGGCUCAGUUGGUUAGAGCGCCGCCCUGUCACGGCGGAGGUCGCGGGUUCGAGUCCCGCUUGGGUCG